rnacentral:rRNA from 1 species
UACGUAGGGUGCAAGCGUUAAUCGGAAUUACUGGGCGUAAAGCGUGCGCAGGCGGUUCGGCCAGAGAGGUGUGAAAUCCCAGGGCUUAACCUUGGAACUGCACUUCUAACUACCGGGCUAGAGUACGUCAGAGGGGGGUAGAAUUCCACGUGUAGCAGUGAAAUGCGUAGAGAUGUGGAGGAAUACCGAUGGCGAAGGCAGCCCCCUGGGAUGAUACUGACGCUCAUGCACGAAAGCGUGGGGAGCAAACAGG